CCUCAGCUGAAUUCAUGAUUCUUCAAUCUCAGGACUCGCAGAAUUAGUGGAAUGCUGUCCUAAGGUUGAGUUCAACGUUUCUGGGC
rnacentral:pre_miRNA from 12 species